ensembl:lncRNA
CCCCUACAACAUAAACGACUCUGAAAAAUCUUACACUAAGUGAAAGAAGCGGGACACAGAAGACCAUAUAUUAUACAGGCCCAUUUCUAGGAGUGGCCAGAUCUGCUAAGUCUACAGAGAGAAAAAGGGGACUAGCAGCUGCCUAGUGCUGGGGGUGAGGGAAGCCGAUAAGGUUUCUCUGAGGAGAUGAAACCACGCUGAGUUAGCCAUCUAUUCACCCACCCUCUCCAGUGUAGCAGAGAAAACAGGUCUCACAAGGCCCACUCUCCACACCACCAUUACUCAGAGGACUCCCCUCUCCCCUGCCUCCUGCACAGUGAAGACAAGAUGCCUGAUGGACAAGGGCCCAGGACGGGCGCACUGCAACACAGGGCAGACCCCUGGGCUCCCAACUGUCUCUCUCAACCGUGCGCUUACGCAGCCCCUGCUGCACUGUGCUGACCGAAGAUCUGAGUCACCACUGACUCCCAAGUUAAGUUUUUUACAGAUGUGUCUCUCAAAAUGCUUCAAAUAAAAGGUCCUGGGGACACACUGCCAGUUACUGAGGGGGAUGUGGAGCAGAGCAUACAGGACAACCCCGCACACCCCUCCUCGCUCCUCUUUCGGUCUGGGAACACUUUCCACCCGAGAGGCGCGGGCCAGCCUCUGGCACCAGCGCGGUGACUCACCCUCCGUCAGGCCCUGCCCAGCGCCGGCCAGAGGGGCGGCGGGGCAAUCACGCGGUCGGCCCCAGCGGGUUAAGCCCCCAUGGAGCUCCGGGGGCCAGGUCACCGCGGAGCCCAGCGGGGCGCUCGCCCGGGACGCCUCAGAGCUCCGUCCAGCGGGAAGUGGGUUCCGCACCCCCGCUCCCCCGGGCCCGACGCGGCCAGAUCCCACGGGAAGGAAGCCCUGUCCCCUUCGCCCCAGACCCUCUGCAGGAGCACCCAGCUUGCACGAGAGUGACUCCCUUCCAGGUGACUUCCAGCUCGCACCCAGAGGAGGGGCUGUUCCCAAUCCAGAGCCGCUCAACUCUGCUGCCGCGCCGGUCGCUGCAUUUCCACUGACCUGAUUGCAACAUCUCCCCGUAGGUGUGGGCCGGGGAGCUGGGAGCGAGCGGCCCGCCCUGCCCUUGGGAGACCCCGGCCCCUCCCCCUCGGCCCUCCGCCUCCUGAACUCCCGAGUCCGGGACCCCCGCUACCGGUAGGGCUCCUCUCCGUCCCUAGACCCUUUCGGCUCUCCGCCCCGUCCCCCUAACCCUCCAGGUCCUGGACCCCCUCCCCGGCGGGCCCCUCUCCUAUCCUACACACCCCCCUCAACCUUCUGGCCCCUUCUUCCCAGAAGCCCGGAGAUCCUCCCCUGAGGCCCUGGACUCUCCUCCCAAGCCCCCUCAGGAC